rnacentral:rRNA from 1 species
UAGGGAAUCUUCCGCAAUGGACGCAAGUCUGACGGAGCAACGCCGCGUGAGUGAAGAAGGAUUUCGGUUCGUAAAACUCUGUUGUUAGAGAAGAACAGCGCAUAGAGUAACUGUUAUGCGUGUGACGGUAUCUAACCAGAAAGCCACGGCUAACUACGUGCCAGCAGCCGCGGUAAUACGUAGGUGGCAAGCGUUGUCCGGAUUUAUUGGGCGUAAAGCGAGCGCAGGCGGUCAAUUAAGUCUGAUGUGAAAGCCCCCGGCUCAACCGGGGAGGGUCAUUGGAAACUGGUUGACUUGAGUGCAGCAGAGGAGAGUGGAAUUCCAUGUGUAGCGGUGAAAUGCGUAGAUAUAUGGAGGAACACCAGUGGCGAAGGCGACUCUCUGGUCUGUAACUGACGCUGAGGUUCGAAAGCGUGGGUAGCAAACAGG